AAUGUAUAAGCUUCAGCUAUAUGUUUUAAAAUAAAAGUGGUUAAAAGGACAUAAACUAUAAAUAUUUUUGGUGAAACUUGUUAGUGGACCUGCAAGAAUUGGACUUCUCCCAUUUCUACACAAUUUCAAAAUGGACUCGAACCGGAAGUUAGCCAAGGACUCAACCCGGAAGCGUGUCAAAGACAAGGCUGGUCCCUCGAAACCGGGUUCGUUGAAUCCUGAUUUUAUGUCCAAUAUAUUUAUUGCCUAUAAGGUUAAAUUAGUUAUGUGGAUGGCAUUAAGCUGCCAGUUUGUUUUGCUACCGAUUUUUGUUUUGUUAGUUACUAU